ACCAUACUAACCUUCUUUCUCUAACUGAACUGCUCGCACAUGGCUCCUGAAACUGGCACAUAUAAAUGCCACAGAGUGGAUUAAUACAGAAGUGAACCGUGUGUGGUUACUGGAAAUGCUGCGGAGACCCGAGCUUUGUUUACUGGUGGACCAACGCCUUGAAAGCUAUUUCUGACUUCCGAGUUUUGAAAACGAAAGCAACAGUUCUGCUACUGUUAUUAGACAUUACUGGGACUUUCCAGGAACAGUGCACCGAAAGUAAAGACUUCCUGACAAUUCAACAUGUCAGCCAAAGACACAGUGAGACGUAAUAAGACAACCCUUCAGACCAUUCUGUGUGGAGACCACAUUUUCAUUCUCAACCAAGUUCUUGAGAAAAAGCUGAUAACUGAUCGUGAGUACACCAAACUCAAAAGCACCCAACCGGAUGUGGAGACCAAAAUUGUUGAGCUUGUGGAUAGGAUCAUGAACAAAGGAGAGGAGCGCUGCAGAGACUUCCUGGACCUCCUGCAAACUGACGACAUUAAAGAGACUUACCCUGAGCUGGAGAACAUACAGCUGAAUGCCCCCUGCCUUCUCCCUGCACCUGUCCAGGCUUAUGCCAUAGACGACAGUGAUGUUCUGCAACAAGAGAGCAAGAGGCAAAAGGAGGACAAGCCGUAUGAGUUGAAGAGCCAGCCUACCGGCCUCUGUGUGAUCAUAAACAACGAGAAUUUUAUGCAUCAAAAACCAAGAGCUGGAACCAACAAAGAUGCUGAAAGUUUGGCCGAGGUGUUCAGCUGGCUGAGGUUCAGAGUGCUGAUGUUUAAAGACCAAACCAAGGACCAGAUGGACCGCACAAUGAAAUGCUUCGCUUCUCAGUGCGACCGCUCUCAGCUGCAGGAACUCAAGGUUCAGGAGUGGUCUGGCAACGAAUUCAGUGCUCUACAAAAUGAUCCUAUGCACGGUGAUGCAUUCAUCUGCUGUAUUCUGAGUCACGGGGAGAAGGGUGUAGUCUUCGGGACUGAUGGCGGGCCCCUCUCCAUCAAACAAAUAACUAGAACUUUCAGGGCUCAAUCAGCUCUCAUCGGCAAGCCCAAAGUGUUCCUGAUCCAGGCCUGCCAGGGAGGGAACAUACAGCGUGGAGUGUUGUUAGAAGAAGAUCUGCAGGCUGAUGAUUCUCACUCCCUGUACAUCCCUGAGGAUGCUGAUGUUCUGGUUGCCAUCUCCACUGUUGAAGACUAUUUAUCAUAUAGAGUCCCAAAAGAUGGGUCCUGGUUCAUCCAGUCCUUGUGUCUGCAGUUAAAGGAGGGCUGUCCAAAGAGUGAAAACAUGACCACCAUCCUCCAGCGUGUGAACGAUGAAGUAGGCAAGAAAGAGGGACGCCCUGGUUGGCCUGGUGCAGUAAAGCAGAUGCCUGAAGUCAGGUUCACCCUGAGGAAGAGACUUGUGUUGUCUCCACAUCGUAACUGAAGCUUAAUCACCAAAAAUCAUAAGAGGAGCAGAUCAAACAUUAGUUCAGGACACGGCACAGACAGUCCUAUAUCGGAGUAAGCUACAAAAUAAUAAUUAACUAGGGACAGCCUGUCAGAUACACACAAAUACCUUUUCAGAGAGCAUUCUCUUGAAAUCUCAAACCGACAAAUUCACAUCAAGAUGGGGAACAUGCAGUGUCCUGCUGAGGACGUAGCCAUCCUGGCUUCGGUCGCUCGAGACAUCUGUCCAUUCCCAGACUACCGCCCAAGUCCUCUUUUUGUCAACAUGCUGUCCAUCAACUCUUCACUUCACCUGAGGAACCACUACAGGGAGGUGCAGUCCUCCCUGACCCCCAAGCAGCUGGACGACUUCACCCAGGGCCUGAGGACCACUUUUGGCCGGCAGGGGAAGGUCACCCUUGGUGGGGUGGGGGUAGUGGCCCUGUCCCUGGCUGUGCUGUUUGACACUCUGGCCAGACAGGUCAGGGGAGAGUGGGUGUCGGACUCUGGGCCCAUUCCAGGUUUAUUUCUCAAAGAUCCGAGAGGGUUCUACCCACCACAUGCCAAAGCGAUCAGCGAGUACCUGAGGCUGGUACCCUACAUUGCAAACAACCCGUCAAGGAUGAUAGAGGAGUCAAAGAGGUACUACAAGGAGGUCAAGAUUGAAACUGUGGACAAGAACCAGAGCCCGACCUGUGAUGACAUCUACGUGGUCAACAGCAAAUUACAGAAAUUAUUCGAACACCGUUUGCACAUUUACCUCCUCCAAGUUACCAACUCCACCUUUGUAAAAGAGAUAGUUAAGUCUGUUAAGAAGCUGAACAGAAUGAAAGGAAACCCAGUCCAAACUGGAUAUGAAAGUGGUCCUGAAAUCAGUACUAUCUUCAAUCUGAACUGUGAUCCAGAUGCAGCUAACGCAGAGUUUUUGUCUGAAGUGAACAAAUCAAACAAGACGAAAAAAGCUUUUAAACGAUGUCGACCUCAGGACCCAACGGAGACGUGGCUGCCUUUCAUUGCCAGGAUAGCCUGGCUAGACGUCGUCCAGGGCUCCCUUUUUCUUUUUGGCAGUAUUCACCACUCACUGAAAGUUAAAAGGGAAGAUUUUGACCUGAAGGACAAUGCGCUCAGAAAGUGGGCAGAGUAGUUCUUUGGUCAACUGUCCAUAUCAUAGACUGUAUAUAAAUAAUGGACGUAGUGAUAGUGACGUCACCCGUUGGUUUGUGGCCCGUUGGAAGCAUCAAGUUCAGCGUUACACUCGUCGCCAUCUUGUUUCCGAUAUGGGGAGCAGACCAUAUUUGGACUGUGGAGGAGAGGGAUCUGAUCACUGACUACAGCCUCUCUACACCUCAACCUGACUGAGAGAAGCUGCUGCUGGGAUGUUCAUUUUGGCUAGCAAAAAUCAAAAACCAAAUGUAAGUUACUGACCUCAGAAAACUGAGCAGCGACUCCUUGGAGUGUCUGUUAGUCCAACGAAAUGCUGAACAAGACGGUCAUUAAGUGAAAAUACAGUGAACAGGGUUCGUACGGGUGUUUGAAAUCCUUGAAAAUGCUUGAAUUUAAAUGUUGUAUUUUCAAGGUUUAAAAAGUGCUUGGAUUUUGGAUAAAGUGCUUGUAAAUGCUUGAAAUUCUUACUGUAUUUCUCUUUCAAUCUGACUAUAUCCAUCUAUAGACUAUAGUUAAUCACAUGUUCAAUGUAAAAAUAAUGAGUAGCCUAUCUGAAAUGAAGACCGUUCCUCCUAAAAGUGUAACACCAUCACAUUUGGUAUGGUUAAGUGAAAUCUCCCCUUUUUAGUAUGUAAGUACUCAUCUAAAACAUGCAAUUUACAACCGUUGUAAUAUACUGGAAAAGCUUGAAAAUGGACCUUGAAAUUCCUUGAAAAAUGCUUGAAUUUACCACUGAAAAAGUGUAUGAACCCUGAGUGAAAGGGUCAAAGUUAUGAGACCAAACUGGUAAAUGUCCUUUUUCAUAUCUUGCCGUGGAUACACAUUGUUCUGCUUCUCUCUUGAUGACGGCUCGCCUUGUUAGUGACCUGUCAAUCAAAGGUAGCCACGCCCCAAAUCAUAAGAUUCUUAAUAUUUUGCUUUCUUCUAAAUGGGGCCAUUAUCUGAACUAUUAAAAUCAAAUUGUCUUGAAGAAUAUUUUUUACUAGUUUGAUUGAGACUAUAGCAUUGUCAUAAAAAACAUUUUCUGAGGUAAUACAUCAAGUGAGAAGUUUUAUCAUUUUGAAUGGAAAUUAAUGGACAGAAAUGUUUGCUUGGAAAAUGCUGGUGUCUUAGUAGGAUGCAGCUUAAGGCACUUCCUGGUUUGACUCCCUUCUCCCCUGCUCAAACCUGGAGGUUGUUGCCUGGUUCAUAUGCUGACGAAAAAAAUCUAUUAUAAUAAAAGUUUAAAUUCAGUACUGUGUAAUAAUUGUCGUGCUAUUAAAUAUAUAUAUAUAAAAACAACGGGAAGGGAAUUUGUGACAUAGGUAACAAAACUAAAAGAGGUAUGAAGCAAAACACUCAUUCAUUCACACACAUGGAACCUGUCUAGUAGUGGUUAGUUAGCUGAUGUGUUGUUCACUUAAAGAAAACACAGAAUCCAAAGCAUAUUCAGCCACAAAAAUAACUUUAAUGCAAAAGUGAUUUCAAUGCCAGUAGCCAUGAGGCUCUGAAUGAACAGGCUGUGAGAGUAUAUUUCAAAGGUUGACUCCAACAAACGUCCCUAAGCAAUAAAUGAUAAACACUUUUUUUUCAAAGUUAAAUCACUGAUCUGGCACUGUUCUCUUAAGAACCUGUGUAUUUCCUCCACUUGACUCUGACUCUAAUUAAAAUAUUUGUUUAACAUUUAAAUCGACUGGCAUGUCCUGUUAUUCCCUCCUCGAUUAUUUUUUGUUUCUCCAUUGAUUUAUAAUAUAUAUAAUAAUAUACUAUGUCCAUGUUUUUAUUUUUGUAGUCUUAUGUUGACAUUGACCAAUAAUGCCAUCUAGUGGCGAAAUGUGAUAACAGAAUUUGAUGCAUUUUAGUGGUUUUGUGAAGCAGUGACAACAUUAAUUUGUACGCAGUGAAACAAAUGUUUUUAUUCCAAUGACCACAUAUUAAAGUCAUUCAAAUAAAAUUACAAAA